rnacentral:rRNA from 1 species
UACGAAGGGGGCUAGCGUUGCUCGGAAUUACUGGGCGUAAAGGGAGCGUAGGCGGACAUUUAAGUCAGGGGUGAAAUCCCGGAGCUCAACUCCGGAACUGCCUUUGAUACUGGGUGUCUUGAGUGUGAGAGAGGUAUGUGGAACUCCGAGUGUAGAGGUGAAAUUCGUAGAUAUUCGGAAGAACGCCAGUGGCGAAGGCGACAUACUGGCUCAUUACUGACGCUGAGGCUCGAAAGCGUGGGGAGCAAACAGG